UACAGAGGGGGCAAGCGUUGUUCGGAAUUACUGGGCGUAAAGGGCGCGUAGGCGGCCCGCUAAGUCGAACGUGAAAUCCCUGGGCUCAACCCAGGAACUGCGUCCGAUACUGGCAGGCUUGAAUCCGGGAGAGGGAUGCGGAAUUCCAGGUGUAGCGGUGAAAUGCGCAGAUAUCAGGAGGAACACCGAUGGCGAAGGCAGGUCUCUGGGACGGUACUGACGCUGAGACGCGAAAGCGUGGGGAGCGAACAGG
rnacentral:rRNA from 1 species